rnacentral:rRNA from 1 species
AACGAACGCUGGCGGCAUGCCUAACACAUGCAAGUCGAACGAGACCUUCGGGUCUAGUGGCGCACGGGUGCGUAACGCGUGGGAAUCUGCCCUUGGGUUCGGAAUAACAGUUAGAAAUGACUGCUAAUACCGGAUAAUGUCUUCGGACCAAAGAUUUAUCGCCCAGGGAUGAGCCCGCGUAGGAUUAGCUAGUUGGUGAGGUAAAGGCUCACCAAGGCGACGAUCCUUAGCUGGUCUGAGAGGAUGAUCAGCCACACUGGGACUGAGACACGGCCCAGACUCCUACGGGAGGCAGCAGUGGGGAAUAUUGGACAAUGGGCGAAAGCCUGAUCCAGCAAUGCCGCGUGAGUGAUGAAGGCCUUAGGGUUGUAAAGCUCUUUUACCCGGGAUGAUAAUGACAGUACCGGGAGAAUAAGCUCCGGCUAACUCCGUGCCAGCAGCCGC